AUAACGGUCCUAAGGUAGCGAAAUUCCUUGUCGGGUAAGUUCCGACCUGCACGAAAGGCGCAACGACUUGGGCGCUGUCUCGACCAUGGACCCGGUGAAAUUGCACUGGUCGUGAAGAUGCGACUUACCCGCGGAAGGACGGAAAGACCCCGUGAACCUUCACUGCAGCUUGGCAUUGGCCGCUGGUCCCGCGUGUAGAGGAUAGGCAGGAGGCAUCGAUCCGGAGGCGCCAGCCCCCGGGGAGCCGCCCUUGGAAUACUGCCCUCGCGCGACCGGCGUCCUAACCCGAGGCCGUCAACCGGCUCGGGGACCGUGCCAGGCGGGCAGUUUGACUGGGGCGGUCGCCUCCUAAAGGGUAACGGAGGCGCGCGAAGGUCCGCUCGGGACGGUCGGCAACCGUCCUUUUGAAUGCAAGAGUACAAGCGGGCUUGACUGCGAGGCCCACAAGCCGAGCAGGUGCGAAAGCAGGCUCUAGUGAUCCGGCGGCCCCGAGUGGGUGGGCCGUCGCUCAACGGAUAAAAGGUACUCCGGGGAUAACAGGCUGAUCUUGCCCAAGAGUCCACAUCGACGGCAAGGUUUGGCACCUCGAUGUCGGCUCAUCGCAUCCUGGGGCUGAAGUAGGUCCCAAGGGUUGGGCUGUUCGCCCAUUAAAGCGGUACGCGAGCUGGGUUCAGAACGUCGUGAGACAGUUCGGUCCCUAUCCUCCGUGGGCGCAGGAGAAUCGAUGGAGGCUGCCCCCAGUACGAGAGGACCGGGGUGGACGCACCUCCGGUGAACCGGUUGUCGACCAACGGCACGGCCGGGUAGCCGCGUGCGGCGCGGAUAACCGCUGAAGGCAUCUAAGCGGGAAGCCGUUCCAGGGAUUAGUUCUCCUUCCGGUAAGGGCCCAGGUAGACUACCUGGUCGAUAGACGGCAGGUGCAAGGCUGGCGACAGCCUCAGCCGAGCCGCACUAAUCGCCCGAGCUCUUCCGGAA
rnacentral:rRNA from 1 species